rnacentral:rRNA from 1 species
ACGAAGGGGGCUAGCGUUGUUCGGAAUCACUGGGCGUAAAGGGCGCGUAGGCGGCCGAUCAAGUCGGGGGUGAAAGCCUGUGGCUUAACCACAGAAUGGCCUUCGAUACUGUUUGGCUUGAGACCGGAAGAGGUUAGUGGAACUGCGAGUGUAGAGGUGAAAUUCGUAGAUAUUCGCAAGAACACCAGUGGCGAAGGCGGCUGACUGGUCCGGUUCUGACGCUGAGGCGCGAAAGCGUGGGGAGCAAACAGG